AGAGUUUGAUCCUGGCUCAGGAUGAACGCUAGCGGCAGGCUUAACACAUGCAAGUCGAGGGGCAGCACGGGUAGCAAUACUUGGUGGCGACCGGCGCAAGGGUGCGUAACGCGUGAGCAACAUGCCCGUAUCAGGGGGAUAAUCCAUGGAAACGUGGUCUAAUACCCCAUAGUAAGUUUUUGGGGCAUCUCAAAGAUUUUAAAGCUUUGGUGGAUACGGAUUGGCUCGCGUGACAUUAGCUAGAUGGUAAGGUAACGGCUUACCAUGGCUACGAUGUCUAGGGGUUCUGAGAGGAAGGUCCCCCACACUGGAACUGAGACACGGUCCAGACUCCUACGGGAGGCAGCAGUGAGGAAUAUUGGACAAUGGAUGGAAAUCUGAUCCAGCCAUGCCGCGUGCAGGAAGACGGCCCUAUGGGUUGUAAACUGCUUUUGUAUGGGAGCAAUAAGAUCUACGUGUAGAUUGAUGAGAGUACCAUACGAAUAAGCACCGGCUAACUCCGUGCCAGCAGCCGCGGUAAUACGGAGGGUGCAAGCGUUAUCCGGAUUUAUUGGGUUUAAAGGGUGCGCAGGCGGGAGAUUAAGUCGGCGGUGAAAUUUUGCAGCUCAACUGUAAAAGUGCCUUCGAAACUGGUUUCCUUGAGUGUAGAUGAAGUAGGCGGAAUUUGUGGUGUAGCGGUGAAAUGCAUAGAUAUCACGAGGAACUCCGAUUGCGCAGGCAGCUUACUAAACUACUACUGACGCUCAGGCACGAAGGCGUGGGGAUCAAACAGGAUUAGAUACCCUGGUAGUCCACGCAGUAAACGAUGAUUACUAGCUGUUUGCGAUACAAUGUAAGCGGCUGAGCGAAAGCGUUAAGUAAUCCACCUGGGGAGUACGUUCACAAGAAUGAAACUCAAAGGAAUUGACGGGGGCCCGCACAAGCGGAGGAACAUGUGGUUUAAUUCGAUGAUACGCGAGGAACCUUACCCGGGCUUGAAAUGCAUCUGACCGGCCUUGAAAGAGGCUUUCCCUUCGGGGCAGAUGUGUAGGUGCUGCAUGGUUGUCGUCAGCUCGUGCCGUGAGGUGUCGGCUUAAGUGCCAUAACGAGCGCAACCCUCAUCAUUAGUUACCAUCAGGUCAAGCUGGGGACUCUAAUGAGACUGCCAUCGUAAGAUGUGAGGAAGGUGGGGAUGACGUCAAAUCAGCACGGCCCUUACGUCCGGGGCGACACACGUGUUACAAUGGGUGGUACAAAGGGCAGCUACCUGGCGACAGGAUGCUAAUCUCCAAAACCACUCUCAGUUCGGAUCGGAGUCUGCAACUCGACUCCGUGAAGCUGGAUUCGCUAGUAAUCGCGCAUCAGCCACGGCGCGGUGAAUACGUUCCCGGGCCUUGUACACACCGCCCGUCAAGCCAUGGAAGCUGGGGGUACCUGAAGUUCGUAACCGUUAAGGAGCGACCUAGGGUAAAACUAGUGACUGGGGCUAAGUCGUAACAAGGUAACC
rnacentral:rRNA from 1 species